rnacentral:rRNA from 1 species
UACGUAGGGUGCGAGCGUUAAUCGGAAUUACUGGGCGUAAAGCGUGCGCAGGCGGUUUGUAAGCCAGAUGUGAAAGCCCCGGGCUUAACCUGGGAAUGGCAUUUGGGACUGCAAGGCUGGAGUUUGGCAGAGGAGACUGGAAUUCCUGGUGUAGCAGUGAAAUGCGUAGAUAUCAGGAGGAAUACCGAUGGCGAAGGCAGGUCUCUGGGCUAUAACUGACGCUCAUGCACGAAAGCGUGGGGAGCAAACAGG